AUUUAUAUAGUUUAAAUAAAACACUACAUUUUCACUGUAAAAAUAAUAUUCCUAUAUUUAUAAAUG
rnacentral:tRNA from 1 species